rnacentral:misc_RNA from 1 species
ACAAACUUGGUCAUUUAGAGGAAGUAAAAGUCGUAACAAGGUCUCCGUUGGUGAACCAGCGGAGGGAUCAUUAGAGAGUAUAACAACUCCCAAACCCAUGUGAACCUACCUAGCGUUGCCUCGGCGGAGAGGGGCCUACCCGUGAAGGGGUACCCGGGUCGAAAGACCCGGGCGUCCUGGGUGCCUCCCGCCGUCGACGGCCCACUAAACUCUGUUUUAUUUUGGAACUCUGAAUUCUAAAGCAAAUAAGUUAAAACUUUCAACAACGGAUCUCUUGGUUCUGGCAUCGAUGAAGAACGCAGC